rnacentral:rRNA from 1 species
UACGUAGGGGCAAGCGUUGUCCGGAAUUAUUGGGCGUAAAGAGCGCGUAGGCGGUCCGAUAAGUCGGCUGUGAAAGUCAAGGGCUCAACCCUUGGAAGCCGGCCGAUACUGUCGGACUAGAGUCCGGAAGAGGCGAGUGGAAUUCCCGGUGUAGCGGUGAAAUGCGCAGAUAUCGGGAGGAACACCAAUUGCGAAGGCAGCUCGCUGGGACGGUACUGACGCUGAGGCGCGAAAGCGUGGG